AAAGUAGGCAGGAAGUACCUGGAAACAAGAAGAGGAGCCUUGCAGGAACGUGUGCGGGUUAACGAGGCACUCUGAUUUUGGACUUCCAGUCUCCAGAACCAUGAGAAAUAAAGUCUGCUGUUGAAACCACCCCAUCUAUGCUAGCCUGCUGGUCCCAGGAAGAAGAUAAGAGACUCACGGAGCAGGACUGCCUGACCAGGUCCAGCCCAGAUCAGCUGACUCUCAGCCAGUUCACAGAAGCAUGAACUAAAUAAGUGCUCCUGGAGCCAACGAUGAGUGGUGUCCACCUUACUCCAUCCUCAUCCACCUUGUCUCCCAGGCCCAUCACUGGCACUCCAUUGGCCCAACCCAUCUACCAAGAACAAGCUUCAGGGCCAGCAGCAUCUGCACUGAAGAGGCACUCACUCUGCGCCAGGCACUAUCCUAUUACACACCUAAUGCAGAGGGACAGCACCAGCAUGGUAACUUCCACUUCUGCCCCACUGCAAGUGCUAGACCACCCCGAGGAGACAGUGGUGUUUCUGACCACCCCCAAGAAAUGUGUCACAUGUGCUGAGUACAAAGUACUAGUCCAGUCGGCCACCCAUGGGCAUCCUCUUUGCCAGGUGGUGCCAACCUUUCCCCUAGAUUCCUCCCCACUGACCAGUCCUUGGGACCGACACUGGUCCCCUCUGCACUCCAGGCUCUCAACCCAAGAGGGGCCACAUCCGCAACACAGUUGACCAGCCAGGAAAGAAAAAUCUCUGUAUUAGUUGACACUAGCUGCUAUGCAGAUAAAUAACUAAAUCUUAUGGACCAAACACAAUAAAAGUGUAUCUCUUGUUCACAGCACAGCCCAAAAGGGAGUUGGCUCCCUGCCAAUUCGUAAACCCAGGCUCCUUCUAUCUUGUGG
ensembl:lncRNA